ACAAUGGUGUCUUUAGACACCACCUGUUAUCUUUGAAGGUUAUUC
rfam:Picea glauca, whole genome shotgun sequence.